AAAACAAAACAAAAAAAAUUAUACACUCAUUCUUAUUCUUACUUGUUUCUUUCCUUCCUUUUUUCUUUCUUUUUCUUUCUUAUUCUUUUU
rnacentral:ribozyme from 1 species